GCUUCUUCGACGUGCGGUGCGAUUUUGGUUUUGGUUGCUUUGAUAUGUUUGGCUGAUCCGGCGGGGGCUUCAAGACCCUCGCCGUGACCCUGUGGCCGUGGUCUACGAGGUGCGCCUCAACCGCCCGGCCAGAGCAACGCGCUCAGUCCGGACUCCUUCGCAGAGAUCCCGCGCGCCAUGGCUCUCCUCGACCGCCUCCCCGCCGCGGGCCCCCGCUUCUGCGAGGUCAUCGAGCUCGGCGGGCCUAGGAACACGCUCACCGCCUCCUCACGUGGCACCGACCCAGUGGCCGCCGCUGCGCGAUCCUAGAGAUGCAGGCGGCGAUGACCCAACAAAAAUCAAAGGGAGUAAAAAUUCUUGCGGAACACCAAUUUGUUUUCCUUCAGUUUGAUCGUACAAACCACACGAAUUUUCACUUGUAUGGUUUACCUUAUUCAUUGCCAAAAGGCAUGAAAGGCUAAGAGGCAUGACAGCCAUGGAGGUGAACGCCGCAAGAGCAAAGAAUCUCCGGUGAAUUUCUCAGCAAACCGAAAAUCCCUGCACCGGCAGCAGGGUCCAGCUUCACUCUGAUUCUUCUCGGCUGUCGACAGCAGGUAGAACCUGUAGUUUCUGAUCAGAAAUAAUUUCUCGCCAGGUCUGAGAAACACCUUUAAGGGUGUUCGUGCUCAAGGAGGUGGACAUGGCUGUCGUUGCUUACCUCGGCACGCUAUAGCGGCCGCCGCGGAUCAUCAGCUAUGGAAAUGCCACGGAGCUCGUGCUCACGAGCCGCAAGACCCCGCCGUGGAAGCCAAGGAGAUGGGGCUCGUCAUCAGGGUGUUCGAUUCCAAACAAGAGAUGGAUGCCGCUAUUGCAAAGAUCGCGAAAGGUUUUGAUUGCAUCACUGGAGCUCAGAUCUGCAUAGGAGUUCGAGGUCGUGCUUGAUCUGCAGACCACCUGCGUACAGUGCUAAAUCUCAAGCAGAUACAAGAAUGGAAUAACAUAUCCUGGAGCAAAUAUUUGAGGGGGGCAUGAAGCCAACUAAUCUGCAUUGAUUUAGAAUUUUCUUUUCCAUCUGUUGCUCGAUGCAUGGUCGUGCUUGAUAUGCAGACUACCCACGUACAUGGCUAAGGUUUCCUUCUUUUCGGCUGGAGCUUCUCCAAAAACCAGCUUCAGCUUAAUUUCUGGGAGAAACAGCUGUCACAGGAAGCCCUGAGAAGCUAUCAUGUUCCCUUCUUUUCAGCUUUUGAAAAUGCAGCUUAUUGUCUGAUGUAUGUGUGAAAGGAUUAUGUUGCCCCUGAAACUGAAUUGUGAAUUGUGAAUUGCAGCUUUGCCAUGUUUCCCUUUUUC